rnacentral:rRNA from 1 species
CAGUAGCCGCGGGAAUACGGAGGGUGCAAGCGUUAAUCGGAAUUACUGGGCGUAAAGCGUGCGUAGGUGGUGGUUUAAGUCCGUUGUGAAAGCCCUGGGCUCAACCUGGGAAUUGCAGUGGAUACUGGGUCACUAGAGUGUGGUAGAGGAUAGUGGAAUUUCCGGUGUAGCAGUGAAAUGCGUAGAGAUCGGAAGGAACAUCUGUGGCGAAGGCGACUAUCUGGGCCAACACUGACACUGAGGCACGAAAGCGUGGGGAGCAAACAGGAUUAGAUACCCCCGUAGUCACUGUCUCUUAUAC